GGAUGGUGUGCGAGUCGGAGUGCAGGAGAGCGCAGUGGUGAUUGUGAAGGACUUUUUGGCGGAUAAAUUUCGUAUCGUCAGCAUUGAAAGGAUUGAGUCUCCUCUAUGUUUCAAGGACCAGUAGCAGUAGACACAUUGUCAUCACAUCUUACUCUCUCCAAGCCUUGAUUCGCUUUUAUGUUGGCCGCAUCAACCUGGUUAAAGAAAAUCUAAUGAAACUGCUACCUUGUGGGUGUCUUUCUAACAUCAGAUGAGCCAGAUACGUCUAGACCACAGGCAAGGAUGUUGGAUUCAGUGAAGGGUCCACCAACACCUGUCCUUUGCGUACAUCAUGCACCUUUAUCUUCUUGAGGGCAAAGGAGGCUGUCUGUCCACCACGCACCUCCCGCACUGGCAUACGCUUACGGUGGAUGGACUUGAUGGGCAUUGGGAUGAAGUCACCAAGCCCAUUAGGACCAAGGAGCAACGUGUCAUUAACUCGGAUGACUCCUUUCAAGCAGUAAUCGCCCGCCUAUCCAGAUUGCCACUAUCCAGAAUACGUUAUUAUCCGGAGUUGCUCACACCAUCUCCAUGCACCCCUACACCACAGCCCAGACAGGACAUCAGCAUGGUGGCCAACUUCAGUGGUGAGGAAGAGCUGUAGGCUGCCUUCUCCCUACUCCCUACUCACCCAACCACUUCCUACUGUGUGUACGUAUGUCCCACCACCACUUGCUGCUGUGUGUACGCCCCACCAACCCUUGCACUGUUUAUGUACCAUUUUUUGUUCCAGAUUAUACAUUUAAUGUGCUUUCA